rnacentral:rRNA from 1 species
CACGUAGGGGGCGAGCGUUGUCCGGAUUUAUUGGGCGUAAAGAGCUCGUAGGCGGCUAAGUAAGUCGGGUGUGAAAACUCCAGGCUCAACCUGGAGACGCCACCCGAUACUGCUUUGGCUAGAGUCCGGUAGGGGAGCAUGGAAUUCCAGGUGUAGCGGUGAAAUGCGUAGAUAUCUGGAGGAACACCGGUGGCGAAGGCGGCAUCCUGGACCAACACUGACGCUGAGGAGCGAAAGCCAGGGGAGCAAACGGG